UUCCUUCACCCGCGGUCCUCCUCUGGGUACUCUAUGGCACCUUGUACUUCUACCCAAUUUUGUCUCCCAUUCUCCCAGCUCCCCAGCUCACCUCCCGCGGCCCGCAUCUCCGGAUGCUUCCUCCGAGGCUGCGGGGUACAGAGCCUGCCGCGAAGGAACCCGGUUUCUCCAUCUCGGCGAUGGAAGCACGGGUCAUAAUGGCCGCAUGCGCAGUGAUAAUUCAGCGGCCUGUCGACCGCGCCUUUUGACCGCUGUUCAGGUGAAGAUUGUGUUAAGGAAGGACAUCAGAGGAUACGACAAGGACACAGCAGAAGGGCCGGGUUACACUUGAGAGGUUCUUAGCGUCUGAGAAAACAGCCUGUCAGGUUCGGCUUCGUUAAAUGAAGGGGCCAUGUAACCAGUGAAUCAGCUAUUGUAGAUGAUUUAUUUGGUCUACACUUGGAAAGACCACCCUGAAGAUAGCAGAAGCCUUUGGCUAAUACUUAGCCAGGCAGCCUUUGGGAUAAGAGCAGCAGUCACACCUUUGAGUUCAAGGCCAGCCUUGUCUACAUAGAGAAACCUCAUUUGGAAAAGUGUAGUACUUUGUCACUUAACAUGUAAUUUGUUUAAUAAAGACUUUUGGGAAGUGUCUCUGCAACUGGA